rnacentral:rRNA from 1 species
CCUACGGGUGGCAGCAGUGAGGAAUAUUGGUCAAUGGACGGAAGUCUGAACCAGCCAUGCCGCGUGCAGGAAGACGGCUCUAUGAGUUGUAAACUGCUUUUGUACAAGGGUAAACCUGAAUACGUGUAUUCAGCUGAAAGUACUGUACGAAUAAGGAUCGGCUAACACCGGGCCAGCCGCCGCGGUAAUACGGGGGAUCCAAGCGUUAUCCGGUUUUAUUGGGUUUUAAGGGUGCGGAGGCGGAGUGAUAAGUUAGAGGUGAAAUGUCCGAGCUUAACUCGGGACCUGCCUCUAAUACUGUUGAUCUAGAGAGUAAGUGCGGUAGGCGGAAUGUAUGGUGUAGCGGUGAAAUGCUUAGAGAUCAUACAGAACACCGAUUGCGAAGGCAGCUUACCAAUCUAUAUCUGACGUUGAGGCACGAAAGCGUGGGGAGCAAACAGGAUUAGAUACCCUGGUAGUC